ACCCCGAUGGUGAAACGGAUAUCACGCCUCGCUUCGAACGAGGGAUUCCGGGUUCAACUCCUGGUCGGGGUG
rnacentral:tRNA from 1 species